rnacentral:rRNA from 1 species
GAUGAACGCUGGCGGCGUGCCUAAUACAUGCAAGUCGAGCGAACGGACGAGAAGCUUGCUUCUCUGAUGUUAGCGGCGGACGGGUGAGUAACACGUGGAUAACCUACCUAUAAGACUGGGAUAACUUCGGGAAACCGGAGCUAAUACCGGAUGAUAUUUUGAACCGCAUGGUUCAAAAGUGAAAGACGGUCUUGCUGUCACUUAUUGAUGGAUCCGCGCUGCAUUAGCUAGUUGGUAAGGUAACGGCUUACCAAGGCAACGAUGCAUAGCCGACCUGAGAGGGUGAUCGGCCACACUGGAACUGAGACACGGUCCAGACUCCUACGGGAGGCAGCAGUAGGGAAUCUUCCGCAAAGGGCGAAAGCCUGACGGAGCAACGCCGCGUGAGUGAUGAAGGUCUUCGGAUCGUAAAACUCUGUUAUUAGGGAAGAACAUAUGUGUAAGUAACUGUGCACAUCUUGACGGUACCUAAUCAGAAAGCCACGGCUAACUACGUG